ensembl:lncRNA
GCCUUCUCCCAGGGUCUCUGAGUAGACUGCUGAUUAUUCACUGUUUGCGUCGGGAUCCUGAGACCGGCGUCCACCAGGCCUCGGACCCUGCGAGGCGUCAACCGUUCCUGCAAACUCUGUCUCUCUACCGGGAACACCUGAUAGGCUUUUACAGCCGCGAGGAAACCCUGGUGCCCCUGGCCACCUGAAGAACACUGUGUUGAUGUACUGUAGACCCUGAGGCCUCCCUCAUCUGGAGGCCUCAGGGAGUAUAAAGGAACAGAUCAGCGGUCUCUGUCAGGCAGCUCUCUUAUUUAGGAGAUCAUAACCGGAGAUCAUCUCUCUCUUGGCACCUACGGCGGCGGUAACGGUUGCUAGGGGAAGAGGCUCACCGGGAAGAGGCUGUUGGAUUUCAUCUGUGGAUACGAAGUGAAGACGACAAACACUGCAAGAAAAACACAAACGUGUGUCAACAAAAAAAAUAGUACUUUGUGUAGCGUCUUAUAGCUAUCGUUGUUGUUUACAGCAGCGGUCCCCAACCCCCGGGCCGCGGACCGGUACCGGUCCGUGGGUCAUUUGGUACCGGUCCGCAGAGAAAUAUUAUUUAUUUAUUUUAAGUUUAAUUUUAUUUAUUUUUUUAUUCAUGCAAAAUGCAUGCACACUUAAUAAACUCAAUUUACUUGCAAUACUGUC